rnacentral:rRNA from 1 species
GAGUUUGAUCCUGGCUCAGAGUGAACGCUGGCGGUAGGCCUAACACAUGCAAGUCGGACGGCAGCACAGAGGAGCUUGCUCCUUGGGUGGCGAGUGGCGGACGGGUGAGGAAUACAUCGGAAUCUACUCUGUCGUGGGAGAUAACGUAGGGAAACUUACGCUAAUACCGCAUACGACCUACGGGUGAAAGCAGGGGAUCUUCGGACCUUGCGCGAUUGAAUGAGCCGAUGUCGGAUUAGCUAGUUGGCGGGGUAAAGGCCCACCAAGGCGACGAUCCGUAGCUGGUCUGAGAGGAUGAUCAGCCACACUGGAACUGAGACACGGUCCAGACUCCUACGGGAGGCAGCAGUGGGGAAUAUUGGACAAUGGGCGCAAGCCUGAUCCAGCCAUACCGCGUGGGUGAAGAAGGCCUUCGGGUUGUAAAGCCCUUUUGUUGGGAAAGAAAUCCAGCUGGCUAAUACCCGGUUGGGAUGACGGUACCCAAAGAAUAA